rnacentral:rRNA from 2 species
UUCAACAACGGAUCUCUUGGCUCUCGCAUCGAUGAAGAACGCAGCGAAAUGCGAUAAGUAAUGUGAAUUGCAGAAUUCAGUGAAUCAUCGAAUCUUUGAACGCACCUUGCGCUCCUUGGUAUUCCGAGGAGCAUGCCUGUUUGAGUGUCAUUA